GGGCGGGAUUUUUCCGUGCUGCGGCGGCGCGCUGGGGCCUAGCCGCUUUCCCAGCAGCCGGCAGGAAACCGGAAGUUGAGCCCGCCAGCCUGCAGCGGAAGUGGAGACAGUGAGAGAGUAGAGCAAGGCCCUGUGUUGUGGGUUGUGAGGUGUGAGCGUUGGAAGGGUCCCGCCUUCCCGCAGCACUGGGGCAGCUGCUGCCAGGGGAAGAAGGUGUCAGAGGAAAUGCAGCCCUCCUGCUGUGCAGCCGUUUUGUUUCUGUCUCCGUGCGGCUCGAGUGUCCAGAGUGGAGAUUCGACUCGGGAAAGGAACUGUGGCUGGAAAAGGAGGCCAUGCUUGAAGUUGCUUCCUGAUCUCAUGUCAACACCAAGCCCCCAGCUGCUGGUGGCAGCUGCUCAGCAGACCCUGGGCAUGGGAAAGAGAAAGGGUCCGUCUAGAGCCGCCUGCCUUCACUUAGCUGGAGAGAUGCUAGCCGUGGCCCAGGGGCUGAAGCCAGCUGUGCUUUAUGAUUACAACUGUGCGGGAGCAUUGGCGCUCCAGAGUUAUCUGGAGGAGCUGCAGAGGCUGGGUCUCCUCAACCUGAGACUUCACAUUCUUGAGAUUGGAGAAAAUAGUCUCAUUGUCAGUCCUAAGCAUGCAUGUCAGCACUUGCAGCAGGUGCUGCUUGGUACUGUAGCAUUGGUGGAUGUUUCCAGCUCCCAGCCAUACCCUUCCCUCUGUUCCCUGGACCAGCUUCAGGACUUGAAGGACUUCAUGGCUGAGAUCACCAUGCAUUUGCAGGAGCUGCAGAGAGACCUAUCUCUAGGAGUCUCUCUUAGCAGACUCCAUUCCUCAGACUGGAAUCUCUGUACUGUAUUUGGGCUCCUUCUGGGCUAUCCUGUCUCAUACACCUUUCACCGGAACCAGGGAAAUGACAACUGCUUGACCCUGACCCCACUGCGGGUGUUCACUGCUCGAAUCUCGUGGCUACCAAGGCAGCCCCCAGUCUUGCUCUGUUCUUUUAGCGUCCCAGAGUGCUUGUUCCCAGCCUUGAAGGACAUUCUAAAUGCCUGGGAGAAGGACCUGAGAACCCGAUUUAGGAGUCAGGAUGACUUUGCUGACCUCAGCAUCUCCUCUGAAAUAGUCACACUGCCAGCUGUGGCCCUCUGACUUUAACUCUCCUCCCAUAUAAAAGAGCACUCUUUCAUAACCGGUGGAAAGGAUGGGGGAGCAUCCCAUACCUGCCCGACACGUGGCGGCUCCCAGAAGAGCGGGUGAUGUGUGUCCCAGGUGGGGCCCUCGCUGGGUUACGUUCUGAGGCGAGUUGGCCCAGCCUCAGACCCAAAACUGGCCGGGUAUUUCCUGCGUUUCUGAAACCCAGGGAUGCAAAAUUCUUGCUACCCCAGAGAGCCAGCGCUGCCCUUGGAAUUCCCGAGAGCUGGCGGGAAAGGACCAUUGUUGGAGCAGGAUAAAACUAUUUGUAUGUCUUAUACCCCGCUGUAAAAGUAUUUUUUAAUCCUUGAGUUACUUUCAUUUCAUACAUACUGGUUUUAGAGGGAAGGCAUCUUACUGCUUAAAUAUUGAUGAACUUUGCGGGGAGGGUGUGCUGAUGCUCAUACUAUUACUGAGCCCUAAGUGGAUGGUUUAAAAUUUACGCGCCUAACCUGUAUCUCCUCGUCAAGUCAUGUGGCUAGAGUUUUAGGGUUUAAACCAUUCUGUGUCUGUGUGGGUACCCUGCUGUUAUCUCAGACUCGACACACUUAAAACAAGACUUCUUUGUAUUCUGUUGUCUUCUUUCAAACUAAGUCCCUUUCCAAGUAUCUUUCCUUCUAGUAGCACCAUUUCCAUUAGAUUGGCUCUCUGGGCUUGAAAUAUUGCGUCAGUUUCUUGGCAAGGUUUUCCUAGACUGUUCUAUCCCAUCAGUCUCUGCCCAGUGCCCUGUUUUACUGAUCUUUAUAGUGCUUUUUUUUAUGUGGCUUUAUGUUGAUAGAAUUCUUGGCUUGGUUUUGUACUGUCUUUCAUGCCCUUUGGAGGAUAAAGUUCAAGAAGGCUGGAACUUUGUUUCUCUCUUUGCUGUGUCCCCAGCAUCUAGCGUAACCCUUGGCACAUAGUAGGUCUUUAAUAGGUAACCAUGGGAACCAAUGGCCUCCCCUGUGGCUCGGGAGGUCCAGCAGGAGUGAGGGGUGGGGGAGAUUGCGCUCAUUAUGCUCAAAUGCUUUCAGGCUUUAGUGGGUACUCAAAAAAGCAUUUGGCUUCUUGAGGGACAGUCUUUUGCUGUUAGUGUUUACCUCUGAUUCAUCUCAAACACUAAGAGCAAAGGAAUCUUCCCCAAAUUUCAUUUUGAAAAUCAUUACCUGCCUGUUGGAAGCUUGAGGUGAUUUCUGGUUGCCCAUAGGAUGAAGUCCUGAACUGCAUGUUGAAUUUGCAUGACCUACUGUUCUUAGCCUCUAGGACCCCUUUGGAUUGGUCUUCCUUAGUUGCCUAACUUCACCUCCUAUUCUUCUCCUGUAAGAAGCCUUUGUUCCACAGAGGGCUUUCUUCUCAGACCAAGAAAUAACUCAUUCUCACCGCUGCGGAGAGCAGUGCUCACUAACUCUCACUGCUCACUUCUGCUUUCUUCCUACCUGAAACGCUGUCCUCUUUCUGUCCUGUCUUCCUUCCUGAGACCAAGUGUGAGUUCACGUGCUCCAGGAAGCCACCACUGCCCAUGCCGGCACACCUGGAUCCCUCCUUUCUGUGAAUUCAGUGGCCUGUGUGGUUCCGCUGCACAGGUUGGCAUUGUGCUGAACCUCGAUUCAUACAGCUGGCUCAUUGUUUCUCGUGGGCUUGCUUCCUCUCUGCCGGACACAGAAUCUUGCUAUUUUUUGUGGUGCCAGCAUAUAAUAGGGGUCCAAUCCCUAUUAGUUAUACUGAUCUGAAUGUCCUGCUGGCAUAGAGAUUGAAAAAUGCUCAGUUAAGACUCUCCUGGGAGGUUAUUUUAGGCAUAGUAGCCUGUCCUUGGCUCAGAGCCUUGGGGCUAAAAUUGCCCAAGACCUGGCAACUUGGCUUAGUUCCCUCAGCUCUGGCCUCCUCACCUUUCACUUCCACUUCCAACUUUGUCUGGCAUGGCUCUCACUCUGGGGCACUCGUGCAGCCUACCCCUGGGACAAAUCACUGAGGAAUAGACUCUUCACAGACAUUAGCUUUUGUCCCUCGUGGCUUCUGGUCAAGCAGAGGCCCCAGCCUCUGGGGCAGGCAGGCUGUGGACGUGUGCACCGCCAUGCUUGUGUAUUAGAACACCAGCACUCUGCUACCUUCAGCCUCUUCUGGAUGCUGUAGCACACUCUCGUCUGAACCAGGGCAAGGAACUUCCUUUAUGCUUGAGUGCUAGUUGCACCUAAGAUUGUAGGGCUGUGGAGUAAGCAGACUUGAGUUUGCCGAAGUCCUACCUUCUCCACUUGCUAGAGUCUACACUUAACUUCUCUGAUGUCUGUUUCCUCAUCUGUAAAAUAAGAGUGAUAAUAAUGCCUAUUAAAUGGAGUCUGCUGAAAGCAGAAUGAGCUAGAACCCCAUCAAGGGCUUUAGUGACGUCUGGCACAAACAAAGCAAUCAAUACGUGCUAGCCAUUAUUAUUCAGUUGUCUGCCUCCUGCUACACGUGAGCAAUUCCCAUGAUCCUUUAUGCCACCCCAAGACAUGGCCACUGCCUGGGUCCAGGAAGGCCCGGCACAUUUGAGGAUGCCAUCCAGGAGGAUAAAAAGUGCCCUGGGCCUGAAGAAGCUUAUAGUGAAGUAGAGGACAAAGAAAUGGAAAUGUGUUAUUAGAAUAUUAGAAUCAGGAUAAGUGUAGCAAUAGGGAUGGAUGACGGGGGGAAACAGACUAGAAUGAGAACUGUAUCGAUUCAACUUGGGGAGAAGGAGGACAAACAAGGAAGGCCUAAGAUGAGUGGUUCCUGAGUACUUAGGGUGCUGAAGGUUACACGCGUUCAAUAGGUGACAGCGGAAAGGGUCUGCUCAGGCUGGCAAGGGCACUGUUCUGAAAAGGGAGGAGCCACAGGAGAGUACUGCAGGACAAAGAGGCAAGGUUGGUGCCACAGCAUCAAGAAUGGGUUCUCGGGGCCGGGGAUUUAGCUCAGUGGCAAUGCGUCUGCCUGCAAGCGCAAGGUUCUGAGUUCGAUCGCUGGUCCUGGAAAAAAAAAAAAAAAAGAUUGUGUUCUCAUGAAAUACGGGAAAGUGAGGAGCCAGAUAAUGAGCAGGUAGGUACACGGUCAUUGAUGUGUGUCAUCGAUGUGUGUCGUGCCUGGGAAUGGCUGCCCCUCCUUUCUUCUAGAAGCACAUGCUCCUUAGCACUGCAGUGCUAUCACACGCCCCUCGGGUUUCCUCCUAGCCUCUAUCCAGCAUCUGCCUGUCACCUGCCUGCGCCAGCGCUUCUCCGGGACUCAGUUCUGGAGCCUCUCCUCUGAUCCUUCGGGCCCCUGAGGGAUUCAGCUACCUGCAGGGCUCCUCUGCAUGCAGAUCUGAGCUCUAGACCUGUGUUCCCCUCCCUAUUUGACUUGCAUGUCUUACCAACGUCAGACUUAGCAUGUGCAGCACCAAAUGUCCUAUGUGAACCCCAUAAACUCGUACCCCCAGCUUUCUUAGUCUCAGCGUCCCUGACUGGACCUACCAGGUCCGAAGCUUGGGAUCUCUUCUUCACUCCCCUCCCCUCUCUCUCAGCUCCCAUUUGUAAAUGAUCCCAAAGACUUGUCAUUCUGCCCCUUAACUAGCUAUUAAUUGUAUCUGCCGUUUGUUCCCUCUGCUAACCCUGAAUCUGAGCCCCAUAAUCUACUGAACUCAGCGCGGCCUUGAAGCCGGUGUCUCUGUCAGGACCGUUUCGUUCUACGCCACUCUCACCCAGAGUAAUCUUUAAAAAAAAAACCGAGUGAAUACGCCUCUUGUUUCUUUCAGUGGAUCCCCACACUGCCCUUUGGAUAGCACCCCAGAUCCUUUGCACGCCUCACACGGCCACCCAUGACCUUGUGCUUGUCUGUUUCCCAUCUUUACGACAUAUCCCUCUGUCCUCAGUCUACAUGGCAUCCGUGCUAUUCAGGACCCUUACAACUGCAGAUCCUGCCAUCUGGAGCACUCUCCCCAUCUUCCUUCAUCUGGAGAACUCUUUUUUGUUUUGUACUGGGGAUCGAAUUCGGGACCUUGUGCUUGUGAGGCAGGCGGCAUCUGGAGAACUCUUACUCCUCCUCCGAGUGGCAUUGUCCUCUUCUUGCGCAGUGACACCUUCCCUGCACGUAGGGGAGGCUUGCUCUCCUGGAUGCACCUUCCAUAGCCACCUCACUUUCCCUACUUGAACUCUGUUGUCCGUUUCCAUCACAGAACUGUAAGCCUCGCUAGGGCACGGGCUGUCUCUGUCGUGCUUGGUACAGUGACUCAGAGCUAGUGUAAGUUGUAGUUCAUGAGGUGUCUAAUAUGCAGCUAUCCAUUUGUUUUAGAAUUGGCUGUACUCUAGGCAGUGGAAGACUAGUGAGUUAGAGUCUGAGAUAGCAAGAUUGGCUA